GGAGAGAUGGUUGAGUGGUCGAAGGCGCUCGCCUGGAAAGCGGGUAGACGUGAAAGCGUCUCGAGGGUUCAAAUCCCUCUCUCUCCGCCA
rnacentral:tRNA from 2 species